CGCCUUGCCAGCCCGCUCAGAAACUCAAAUGAAUUGACGGGGGCCCGCACAAGCGGUGGAGCAUGUGGUUUAAUUCGAUGAUACGCGAGGAACCUUACCUGGGCUCAAAUGUAUGUUGACGUAUUCUGAAAGGGAUACUUCUUCGGACAAUAUACAAGGUGCUGCAUGGUUGUCGUCAGCUCGUGCCGUGGGGUGUCGGGUUAAGUCCCAUAACGAGCGCAACCCCUAUCAUUAGUUGCCAUCAGGUCAAGCUGGGGACUCUAAUGAAACUGCCUACGCAAGUAGUGAGGAAGGUGGGGAUGACGUCAAAUCAGCACGGCCCUUACGGCCUGGGCUACACACGUGCUACAAUGGUCGGUACAAAGGGUUGCCAAGCCGCGAGGUGGAGCUAAUCCCAUAAAACCGAUCGUAGUCCGGAUCGCAGUCUGCAACUCGACUGCGUGAAGUCGGAAUCGCUAGUAAUCGUGAACCAGAAUGUCACGGUGAAUACGUUCCCGGGCCUU
rnacentral:rRNA from 1 species